rnacentral:lncRNA from 1 species
GAACUAAGAGUAUUUUUAAUACAGUGCUGAAGAGCCAGCUGAACUGGCUUUGUAGAUCAUCCUCAGGAAACUGACGGUCAGGCCUCCUGUAUGACACCAGGGAGCUGAGGCUUUAUGGAUUGGAUCACUGCACCCAAUGAGACACACCUGCUGCCUGUCGAACCAACCCUCUUCCUAGCUCCUCCAUAAUUCCUUUUUUUCCUGCACGUGAUUACAGUGAGAUGCUAGAUCCCUCAUUCAGCUACCUGCUGCCUGUUGACCAGCUCCUCUUCCUCUCCCCCGGCCCUGGUUCUUCUUCCAAGCUAUUAGGUGAAAGCAAAAGUAAUUGCGGUUUUUGCAUUGUUGAAAUUUGC